CUGCCCUCAAGCCCGGCUUGUGUGUUGGGCCCUGCUCCCCCGGGGGCAGGCCCGAAAGGCAGUGGCGGCACCGCGUCCGGUCCUCGAGCGUAUGGGGCUUUGUCACCCGCUCUGUAGGCCCGGCCGGCGCUUGCCGACCCCCAUCAAUCUUUUUUCA
rnacentral:misc_RNA from 1 species